rnacentral:tRNA from 1 species
GCCUGGAUGGCUUAGUCGGUUGAGCGUCCGACUUCGGCUCAGGUCAUGAUCUCACAGUUUGUGGGUUUGAGCCCCAUGUCAGGCA